GAUGAAGAACGUAGCGAAAUGCGAUAAGUAGUGUGAAUUGCAGAAUUCAGUGAAUCAUCGAAUCUUUGAACGCACAUUGCGCCCCUUGGUAUUCCAUGGGGCAUGCCUGUUCGAGCGUCAUUUGUACCCUCAAGCUUUGCUUGGUGUUGGGCGUCUUGUCGUAUUACGACUCGCCUUAAAUACAUUGGCAGCCGGCACUUUGGCCUAGGAGCGCAGCACAUUUUGCGAUCGUAGCCCGUUGUACUGGCGUCCAUCAAGAACAUUUACCACGUUUGACCUCGGAUCAGGUAGGGAUACCCGCUGAACUUAAGCAUAUCAAUAAGCGAGGA
rnacentral:misc_RNA from 1 species